UUUAUGGAGAGUUUGAUCCUGGCUCAGGAUGAACGCUGGCGGCGUGCCUAAUACAUGCAAGUCGAGCGAACGGACGAGAAGCUUGCUUCUCUGAUGUUAGCGGCGGACGGGUGAGUAACACGUGGAUAACCUACCUAUAAGACUGGGAUAACUUCGGGAAACCGGAGCUAAUACCGGAUAAUAUUUUGAACCGCAUGGUUCAAAAGUGAAAGACGGUCUUGCUGUCACUUAUAGAUGGAUCCGCGCUGCAUUAGCUAGUUGGUAAGGUAACGGCUUACCAAGGCAACGAUGCAUAGCCGACCUGAGAGGGUGAUCGGCCACACUGGAACUGAGACACGGUCCAGACUCCUACGGGAGGCAGCAGUAGGGAAUCUUCCGCAAUGGGCGAAAGCCUGACGGAGCAACGCCGCGUGAGUGAUGAAGGUCUUCGGAUCGUAAAACUCUGUUAUUAGGGAAGAACAUAUGUGUAAGUAACUGUGCACAUCUUGACGGUACCUAAUCAGAAAGCCACGGCUAACUACGUGCCAGCAGCCGCGGUAAUACGUAGGUGGCAAGCGUUAUCCGGAAUUAUUGGGCGUAAAGCGCGCGUAGGCGGUUUUUUAAGUCUGAUGAAAGCCCACGGCUCAACCGUGGAGGGUCAUUGGAAACUGGAAAACUUGAGUGCAGAAGAGGAAAGUGGAAUUCCAUGUGUAGCGGUGAAAUGCGCAGAGAUAUGGAGGAACACCAGUGGCGAAGGCGACUUUCUGGUCUGUAACUGACGCUGAUGUGCGAAAGCGUGGGGAUCAAACAGGAUUAGAUACCCUGGUAGUCCACGCCGUAAACGAUGAGUGCUAAGUGUUAGGGGUUUCCGCCCCUUAGUGCUGCAGCUAACGCAUUAAGCACUCCGCCUGGGGAGUACGACCGCAAGGUUGAAACUCAAAGGAAUUGACGGGGACCCGCACAAGCGGUGGAGCAUGUGGUUUAAUUCGAAGCAACGCGAAGAACCUUACCAAAUCUUGACAUCCUUUGACAACUCUAGAGAUAGAGCCUUCCCCUUCGGGGGACAAAGUGACAGGUGGUGCAUGGUUGUCGUCAGCUCGUGUCGUGAGAUGUUGGGUUAAGUCCCGCAACGAGCGCAACCCUUAAGCUUAGUUGCCAUCAUUAAGUUGGGCACUCUAAGUUGACUGCCGGUGACAAACCGGAGGAAGGUGGGGAUGACGUCAAAUCAUCAUGCCCCUUAUGAUUUGGGCUACACACGUGCUACAAUGGACAAUACAAAGGGCAGCGAAACCGCGAGGUCAAGCAAAUCCCAUAAAGUUGUUCUCAGUUCGGAUUGUAGUCUGCAACUCGACUACAUGAAGCUGGAAUCGCUAGUAAUCGUAGAUCAGCAUGCUACGGUGAAUACGUUCCCGGGUCUUGUACACACCGCCCGUCACACCACGAGAGUUUGUAACACCCGAAGCCGGUGGAGUAACCUUUUAGGAGCUAGCCGUCGAAGGUGGGACAAAUGAUUGGGGUGAAGUCGUAACAAGGUAGCCGUAUCGGAAGGUGCGGCUGGAUCACCUCCUUUCU
rnacentral:rRNA from 1 species